ACACAGUCGGACAAUAGUAUAACUUAUAACAGAUUUCUUUUUACUUUAAAUAAAAAUGUUAAAGAAUAUAUUUUCGGAAAAAAUUUUUGUUGAUAAAUUAAGAAAUUAUUUUUUAUAUUUGAAAAGUUUGUUAGCUCGUACUUAGAUUGGCCUUUAACUUUUAGGUGAGUACGCUGAGACGCUAGUAUUUAAUUUAUACACUUGGUUUAGGAGUGCAGUUUGAAAAAUAGGGAAUUUCAAAAAAUUAACAAAUUGAUUAUUUAUUGAAGGUAAAACAUUAUUUCUUUGUAUUGUCAAUACUAAAUGGCUUACUUUAUCUACUGCAUUUAUAAAGUUUUUUCUUUUUUCAAGGAGGUUAAACAAGAUUGAGUUUUGGUUGAUAAAACUAAAGAUAAUAGCUCGUUUGAGCAGCAACCAUAAUAGUAUUUGUAGAAAAGAGAAAGAAAAACAACCUUACAACGAUAAGAGAAGCUUGGCAAGAUAGAGCAGGUCUAGCUAAAUUUACAGUGCGUUUUGGACCUUGUCUAGAAGAAAAAAUGUAUCAUUAAAAGACCCAGCCCAAAAUUUUUGACAGCAGUAUUUCAUGCAAAAACAAAUAAGAGCUAAGUAAUGAUAAAGAAUGGAAUUAGGAAUAAGCUGUUAUAAAAAAAGAAUUGUUACAAAAAAGAGAUCAGAUUUAAGAUUGACUGCCUGUUCUAAGUGAUCAAAAAGUGAAGACUUUUUGUCAAGACAGGAGUAUAAAGUUGAGUUGUCAACAAUUAGAGCCACUUUAGAUGUAAGACUGUCAGGAAGAUGAUUAAUAAAAUUUUAAAGAUUAUUAAUCUAGAAAUAACAAACGGAGGAUAGAAUCUUGAGGUACUGUUGAAGAAUUUCCAAAAGUCUUAAGAGUCUAACAUUUAAGAUUAGAUACGAGAUUUAGUAAACUGGGAAUAACGGAGCUUAGGAGAGACAGAAGCUCUGGGGCUGUUCAUAAAGUACGUACGCUUAUAAGAGGAAGGUGGAAAGGGUAUUCAAAUAACGUACGAAAGUGUAUGUGGGUGAAAGGGUUCAAUAUAAAAGUAUGUACGCACUUAUUAUAAAAAGAUUUCUUUGGUAA